rnacentral:rRNA from 1 species
UACGUAGGGAGCAAGCGUUGUCCGGAAUCAUUGGGCGUAAAGCGCGCGUAGGUGGCUAUAUAAGUCCGUUGUGAAAGUCAAAGGCUCAACCUUUGAAAGCCGAUGGAUACUGCAUAGCUAGAGUACGGAAGAGGCGAGUGGAAUUCCUGGUGUAGCGGUGGAAUGCGCAGAUAUCAGGAGGAACACCAAUAGCGAAGGCAGCUCGCUGGGACGUUACUGACGCUGAGACGCGAAAGCGUGGGGAGCAAACAGG